UAUAAUCUUCGUCAUAUCACGCAUUAAAUAUCACUAGAUGGACAUUAUGAUUAGAAAAUACUGUAAAUUCUCGAUAAACAACCCAAAACUCCACAGACUACAUAUUUCCUUGUUACCGUGCAUUGCUUUUUAUUCAACAUAUGAGUUGUUAGAAAAUCAGAAUUUGAUAUUUUCUUUAGGUUUUGUGAUGAUCGUUCCAUCACUAUUUAUACUUGGUAAGUCG
rnacentral:misc_RNA from 1 species